rnacentral:rRNA from 1 species
AACGAACGCUGGCGGCAGGCUUAACACAUGCAAGUCGAGCGCCCCGCAAGGGGAGCGGCAGACGGGUGAGUAACGCGUGGGAAUCUACCCAUCUCUACGGAACAACAGUUGGAAACGACUGCUAAUACCGUAUACGCCCUUAGGGGGAAAGAUUUAUCGGAGAUGGAUGAGCCCGCGUUGGAUUAGCUAGUUGGUGGGGUAAAGGCCUACCAAGGCGACGAUCCAUAGCUGGUCUGAGAGGAUGAUCAGCCACACUGGGACUGAGACACGGCCCAGACUCCUACGGGAGGCAGCAGUGGGGAAUAUUGGACAAUGGGCGCAAGCCUGAUCCAGCCAUGCCGCGUGAGUGAUGAAGG